GGGUGAGUGGUUUUCCUUUCUUACAAAGACUUUCUCAUUUUUAGUUGUUUAGUUCUUUUCACUAUUUUUCUUUCUUUUUUGUUGGUUAUUUUUGUGUCUUAUUGAAGUUCAAAUUUUAUUUGUGAAUUGCUCAAAUUUCUGUGUGUACAUUACAUCUGGCAUCAGCUUUUUUUCCCUUUGGGAAAUUGGAGUUAAUUUAAUGGAAACAUCUAAAAGAAGCCCGAGGCUUAGUUAUGAAGCCCCAUUUCACAGAUGAAGAAGCCGAGGCACUAAGAGGAAAAAAAUAAAUGGAUGAAAUCUGAAAAGUUGAAGCUCUGGACUGCCUCAGGCUGACUUUCAUGAUUCUUCUUACUGCAAUCUCUUGAAUUCUAGGUCAUCUGUGUUUACUUUUGGAGAAUCCAUGCAGUGUUGAUGUCCCCUGCUUUGAGG
rnacentral:lncRNA from 1 species